rnacentral:rRNA from 1 species
CAGGGAAUUUUGCACAAUGGACGAAAGUCUGAUGCAGCGACGCCGCGUGGGGGAUGAAUGCCUUCGGGUUGUAAACCCCUUUCAGGAGGGACGAAGCGAAAGUGACGGUACCUCCAGAAGAAGCCCCGGCCAACUACGUGCCAGCAGCCGCGGUAAUACGUAGGGGGCGAACGUUGUCCGGAUUUAUUGGGCGUAAAGAGCUCGUAGGCGGCUCAGCAAGUCGGCCGUGAAAACCCGGGGCUCAACCCCGGGACGCCGGUCGAAACUGCUGUGGCUAGGGUUCGUAGAGGAGAGUGGAAUUCCCGGUGUAGCGGUGAAAUGCGCAGAUAUCGGGAGGAACACCAGUAGCGAAGGCGGCUCUCUGGGCCGAUACCGACGCUGAGGAGCGAAAGCUAGGGGGAGCAAACAGGAUUAGAUACCCUGGUAGUCCUAGCCGUAAACGUUGGGCACUAGGUGUGGCGGACUCAUUGACGUCUGCCGUGCCGCAGCUAACGCAUUAAGUGCCCCGCUGGGGAUAC